GGUUGAUCCUGCCAGUAGUAGUAUAUUUAUCUCAAAGAUUAAGUCAUACAUUGUCUCAGUACUUGCUUUGACAAGGCGAAACUGCGAAUAGCUUAUUAAACCAGUCAUGGUUCACUAGAUCGUAUGAAUUACAUUGAUAACUGUGGUAAUUCUAGAGUUAAUACAUGCAUACAGCCGGCUGCCUUGUGAAGCAGCCGCAAUUAUUGAACAAAACCAAUCCGGCUUUGGUCGGUUUAUUGGUGACUCUGAAUAACCGAAACGGAGGGCACGGUAUCUCACCGGCGCCAGAUCUU
rnacentral:rRNA from 1 species